CAGGAUUAGAUACCCCUGGUAGUCCACGCCGUAAACGAUGUCGACUUGGAGGUUGUGCCCUUGAGGCGUGGCUUCCGGAGCUAACGCGUUAAGUCGACCGCCUGGGGAGUACGGCCGCAAGGUUAAAACUCAAAUGAAUUGACGGGGGCCCGCACAAGCGGUGGAGCAUGUGGUUUAAUUCGAUGCAACGCGAAGAACCUUACCUACUCUUGACAUCCAGAGAACUUAGCAGAGAUGCUUUGGUGCCUUCGGGAACUCUGAGACAGGUGCUGCAUGGCUGUCGUCAGCUCGUGUUGUGAAAUGUUGGGUUAAGUCCCGCAACGAGCGCAACCCUUAUCCUUUGUUGCCAGCGGUUAGGCCGGGAACUCAAAGGAGACUGCCAGUGAUAAACUGGAGGAAGGUGGGGAUGACGUCAAGUCAUCAUGGCCCUUACGAGUAGGGCUACACACGUGCUACAAUGGCAUAUACAAAGAGAAGCGACCUCGCGAGAGCAAGCGGACCUCAUAAAGUAUGUCGUAGUCCGGAUUGGAGUCUGCAACUCGACUCCAUGAAGUCGGAAUCGCUAGUAAUCGUGGAUCAGAAUGCCACGGUGAAUACGUUCCCGGGCCUUGUACACACCGCCCGUCACACCAUGGGAGUGGGUUGCAAAAGAAGUAGGUAGCUUAACCUUCGGGAGGGCGCUUACCACUUUGUGAUUCAUGACUGGGGUGAAGUCGUAACAAGGUAACC
rnacentral:rRNA from 1 species